GCAUUACUUCCUUCUGGUAAUGUAAUCAAUCUUGUAGUUGAAUCAUACACCAUUUUAGUACCACAGCUGAGGAAAAAAUUAACUUUGGAUGGUUAAACUAAUGAUCUAUUAUAAUUCAUAAAUCAUAUCAGUUUAAUGAUAUUAGUUUAAUUA